UCAAAGAUUAAGCCAUGCAUGUCUAAGUAUAAGCAAUUUGUACUGUGAAACUGCGAAUGGCUCAUUAAAUCAGUUAUCGUUUAUUUGAUAGUACCUUACUACAUGGAUACCUGUGGUAAUUCUAGAGCUAAUACAUGCUAAAAACCUCGACUUCGGAAGGGGUGUAUUUAUUAGAUAAAAAACCAACGCCCUUCGGGGCUCCUUGGUGAAUCAUAAUAACUAAGCGAAUCGCAUGGCCUUGCGCCG
rnacentral:rRNA from 1 species